rnacentral:rRNA from 1 species
GUGGGGAAUAUUGCGCAAUGGGCGGAAGCCUGACGCAGCGACGCCGCGUGGGGGAUGAAGGCCUUCGGGUUGUAAACCUCUUUCAGCAGGGACGAAGCGUGAGUGACGGUACCUGCAGAAGAAGCGCCGGCUAACUACGUGCCAGCAGCCGCGGUAACACGUAGGGCGCAAGCGUUGUCCGGAAUUAUUGGGCGUAAAGAGCUCGUAGGCGGUCUGUUGCGUCCGCUGUGAAAUCUCGGGGCUUAACCCCGGGCCUGCAGUGGAUACGGGCAGACUAGAGGUAGGUAGGGGAGAAUGGAAUUCCUGGUGUAGCGGUGAAAUGCGCAGAUAUCAGGAGGAACACCGGUGGCGAAGGCGGUUCUCUGGGCCUUACCUGACGCUGAGGAGCGAAAGCGUGGGGAGCGAACAGG